rnacentral:sRNA from 1 species
GUUGGGCGUGGUGGCACGCCUGUAAUCCCAGCAGCUUGUAAACUGGGGCAGGAGGAUCACAAGUUCAAAGCCAGCCUCAGCAAUUUAGCAAGGCCCUGAGCAACUCAGUGAAACCCCGUCUCUA